rnacentral:rRNA from 1 species
UUGGAGGGCAAGUCUGGUGCCAGCAGCCGCGGUAAUUCCAGCUCCAAUAGCGUAUAUUAAAGUUGUUGCAGUUAAAAAGCUCGUAGUUGAAUUUCGGGAUCAAUACGUCGGUCGUGCUUUUUUGGUACGCACUGGCGUCAUUGGUUUCUCCUUUCUGACGAACCAUGAUGUCAUUAAUUUGGUGUUAUGGGGAGUUAGGACUGUUACUUUGAAAAAAUUAGAGUGUUUAAAGCAGGCAUUAGCUUGAAUACAUUAGCAUGGAAUAAUGAAAUAGGACGUUCGAUCCUAUUUUGUUGGUUUCUAGGAUCAACGUAAUGAUUAAUAGGGAUAGUUGGGGGCAUUAGUAUUCAAUUGUCAGAGGUGAAAUUCUUGGAUUUAUUGAAGACUAACUACUGCGAAAGCAUUUGCCAAGGAUGUUUUCAUUAAUCAAGAACGAAAGUUAGGGGAUCGAAGACGAUCAGAUACCGUCGUAGUCUUAACCAUAAACUAUGCCGACCAGGGAUCGGAUGAUGUUAAUUUUUUAAUGACUCAUUCGGCGCCUUACGGGAAAC